rnacentral:misc_RNA from 1 species
GAUGAAGAACGUAGCAAAAUGCGAUAAGUAAUGUGAAUUGCAGAAUUCAGUGAAUCAUCGAAUCUUUGAACGCACAUUGCGCCCGCCAGUAUUCUGGCGGGCAUGCCUGUUCGAGCGUCAUUACAACCCUCAGGCCCCCGGGCCUGGCGUUGGGGAUCGGCGGAAGCCCCCUGCGGGCACAACGCCGUCCCCCAAAUACAGUGGCGGUCCCGCCGCAGCUUCCAUUGCGUAGUAGCUAACACCUCGCAACUGGAGAGCGGCGCGGCCACGCCGUAAAACACCCAACUUCUGAAUGUUGACCUCGAAUCAGGUAGGAAUACCCGCUGAACUUAAGCAUAUCAAUAAGCGGAGGA